UUUUAAUACUUUAUUGGAUCAAUAAUUUUUAUAUAAAUAAGUUGAAGUCAAAGCAAACGCAGGUAGAAAGAGCCAAAAAGGCAAUCAAUCCACAACAUAAGAACUUAUCAUAGGCGAAGACAUUUGGCAAAACCAUAAAGCAAGUCCUGUUGCCACGUUUUGUCAGCUGGGCGGUGAUUCCAAAAAAAGUAGAUCAUUGGAUGCACCGUUUUGUCCGUAAGAUGGGCCUUCUGUCAAUGAAAAUGCGUCACACUCGCUCCAUCUUAACCGUCCCUUUUUUUAUUUAUAUUUCUUAUCAACCGCCGUACUGUUUGGCACAUACGGUUAAAACAACAGCCCACGUUGUUAACAAAAAAAGGGGCCCACUC
rnacentral:lncRNA from 1 species